GACAGAGGAGGCAAGCGUUAUCCGGAAUUAUUGGGCGUAAAGCGUCCGUAGGUGGUUUGGCAAGUCUGGGGUUAAAGCCCGGAGCCUAACUCCGGAUCGGCCCUGGAAACUGCCAGACUAGAGUAAGGUAGGGGUUGCGGGAAUUCCCGGUGUAGCGGUGAAAUGCGUAGAUAUCGGGAAGAACACCAGUGGCGAAAGCGCGCAACUGGGCCAUUACUGACGCUGAGGUACGAAAGCUAGGGGAGCGAAUGCG
rnacentral:rRNA from 1 species